rnacentral:rRNA from 1 species
UACGAAGGGGGCUAGCGUUGUUCAGAAUUACUGGGCGUAAAGCGCGCGCAGGCGGUCUUCCAAGUCAGUGGUGAAAGCCCGGAGCUCAACUCCGGAACUGCCAUUGAAACUGUGAGACUAGAGUACGAGAGAGGUGAGUGGAAUUCCCAGUGUAGAGGUGAAAUUCGUAGAUAUUGGGAAGAACACCGGUGGCGAAGGCGACUUACUGGACACAUAUUGACGCUGAGGUGCGAAAGCGUGGGGAGCAAACAGG